rnacentral:rRNA from 1 species
GACGAACGCUGGCGGCGUGCUUAACACAUGCAAGUCGGACGGAAAGGCCCUGCUUUUGUGGGGUGCUCGAGUGGCGAACGGGUGAGUAACACGUGAGUAACCUGCCCUUGACUUUGGGAUAACUUCAGGAAACUGGGGCUAAUACCGGAUAGGAGCUCCUGCUGCAUGGUGGGGGUUGGAAAGUUUCGGCGGUUGGGGAUGGACUCGCGGCUUAUCAGCUUGUUGGUGGGGUAGUGGCUUACCAAGGCUUUGACGGGUAGCCGGCCUGAGAGGGUGACCGGCAACAUUGGGACUGAGAUACGGCCCAGACUCCUACGGGAGGAAGCAGUGGGGAAUAUUGAACAAUGGGCGGAAGCCUGAUGCAGCAACGCCGCGUGCGGGAUGACGGCCUUCGGGUUGUAAACCGCUUUCGCCUGUGACGAAGCGUGAGUGACGGUAAUGGGUAAAGAAGCACCGGCUAACUACGUG